rnacentral:rRNA from 1 species
UGUAAGCGUAUACCAAAGUUGUUGCAGUUAAAACGCUCGUAGUCGGAAUUUGGCAGUUCCGGAAGUGUGCACGUCGUGUGCGCACUUUGCGGGGACUGCUUUUGUGGUCUUGCGUAGGAUGAGGCACUUUCAUUAGUGAACGUCCUCACGCAACCACUCUUUACUGUGAGAAAAUCAGAGUGCUCAAAGCAGGCAUUUGCCGUGAAUGUAUUAGCAUGGAAUAAUAGAAUAGGACUCGGUUCUAUUUUGUUGGUUUGUUGGGACUGAGUAAUGAUUAAGAGGGACAGUUGGGGGCAUUUGUAUUCCGGCGCUAGAGGUGAAAUUCUUAGAUCGCCGGAAGACAAACUGCUGCGAAAGCGUCUGCCAAGGAUGUUUUCAUUGA